UUGUUAAUCACAAUAAAAACUAUUUGGUAACUGAUAACAAUAAACUAAAAGUGAAACUAAAGUUUACCCAGAAACUCAAAUCAAUAAACUUUAUAAGACUGACUUCCUCUGCUUCACAGAAAGAACUUUAUAUUACUCAAGAGAUACAGAAAUUUCCUAAAGCAUUAAAAUGCCAUGGUUUUGGAUUGUGUAUGGAGUUUCAGUUGCUAUAGCAAUAUAUACUGUAGUAGCUGCAAAUCAACGGCAACCGAAUUCAUAUAAGCCACCGAAACCGAAUUCAAAUAAGCCACCGAAACCGAAUUCAUAUAAGCCGAAAUCGGAUCACCCACCGGGACCGGAUAACCCACAGGAUCCGUAUGGCCCAGAGAAAUUGUCUAUGCUACAGGAGUUUUCUGAGCAAAAAACUUAUGACAUGUUUAAUGAGAAAAAUGUCAGUGGAGGGGCAUAUAUGGAAAAGAAUAGGAAGAGCUUCACUACCCGUAGAACUGAAAGAAAUGAAUUCAUUCAAAGAUGAAGGAAUGUAAAUGGUGCAAGUGGAUCCUCUGUCAGCAUACGAGAGUAGAUCAAAUCCAUUAUAUCUACAACAGACUCUUUAAAAUUUAGGACAGAAAUGAAGAGCAA